UCUUCGCCGGCCCCGGCUCAGCUCUGACCGGGCGGCGGCGUUUCCCCUGCCUCCGAUGACCUCCACCACCGUAUUUCCUCAAUCGGCCGUCGCUGGCACAUGCUCGUGCGUCACAACAUAGGAAGAAGAAGAGGACAGGUGACUGCAAUUUCAGAAAAUUCCAUUCGCCUAUCGCCAGUACGGAGGAAGUUCCCAAACUGAACCAAUCAGUUUAUUGAUAUAUACACCUAAUACAUAUGCACAUAUACACAUACAGUUCAUUACAUAGAACAGCGACGAAUCAUCAUUUUAUUUACUGACUGCCUCUCUUCAGCAGCAUAUGUAGUCGGGGAAUUCUCAUCCCAUCCUCAAGUCUCCACUCUCUCAAUCAGCUUGAUGCCAGACGCCUCCAGGAUCUCCAACGCUUCACAGAUGCAAAGACACGGGUCAGAAUGCUGGAUUCAUAGGCAACAUACCUCAUUCAUAAACUUUAGUCGUGUGUACGUGUGAUGCGGUUGAAGGUGCAGUACCAGGGCUCCUAUCGCUGCCGGUACCCCGACGGUCAGGGCCAUGGCGGUGGUGGACCUGCCAUUCUCGGACUUUCCGAACUCCAGCAGCGUCGCUUGGUGCUUCUCGGCGGGUCGCCCGUCGGGGUACUCCACCUCGACUUCAUGGUGGAGCAGUACCAUGUCCUGAAUUAUGAGAGCAAAGAGCAACGGCAGCAAGAUACUUAAAACACUAGCAUACCAGAGAGCAAUGCCCAAAAAUCGUUGAAAGGAGCGCAGUUCUAAAAGAAAAAGGGAAGGAAGAGAAGCACAUACUGAUUGAUGGCAGUCCAGAGUUCCAGUUAGUCGAAGUGGAAGCUGGGCAGACUGGUACGCUAAGGGGACUGGAGUCUGAACUUUAUAACCUACUCAAUGAUUGAGUGGAAAUAUCUAAAGGGAGCUCAAGGACUCGAGGAACAAGGGAAACGCAUGUCCUGCAAGCUAUGGCAAAGGACUAUGAUGGUGACAAUGAGAAAUAUUUGAAACUUACAAAAUAGUCUUUCUCAUCCGAGGAAUAUAUUCGUACAGAGGAGUGAGCUUGCCAGAAUAUGAAAUGCAGGCUCUUCUCAAGUGGGACGGUAGCUCCAAUAAUCCCUUAGUUGAGGCCAAGCUAGUAACAAAUCUAGAUAAUAUGUCUCCAAAAUGCUGGGAGGCCUACAGAGUUUGAUUACAGUAGAGUAGGAGUCAUCUCAUUGCAACAAAUUGAACUUCAACGAGGAUAGCUUUAUUUGUUUUAUAUGAAUCUCUCACCUCUCUAGAAAACUCUGUAGGGAGAAUGUCGACAGCUAAGCAGAUCACACCAUCGCCUUCCAUAUCAUCAUGGCAUA